UAGUGGCGAACGGGUGAGUAACACGUGAGUAACCUGCCCUUAACUCUGGGAUAAGCCUGGGAAACUGGGUCUAAUACCGGAUAUGACUGAUCAUCGCAUGGUGGUUGGUGGAAAGCUUUUUUGUGGUUUUGGAUGGACUCGCGGCCUAUCAGCUUGUUGGUGAGGUAAUGGCUCACCAAGGCGACGACGGGUAGCCGGCCUGAGAGGGUGACCGGCCACACUGGGACUGAGACACGGCCCAGACUCCUACGGGAGGCAGCAGUGGGGAAUAUUGCACAAUGGGCGCAAGCCUGAUGCAGCGACGCCGCGUGAGGGAUGACGGCCUUCGGGUUGUAAACCUCUUUCAGUAGGGAAGAAGCGAAAGUGACGGUACCUGCAGAAGAAGCGCCGGCUAACUACGUGCCAGCAGCCGCGGUAAUACGUAGGGCGCAAGCGUUAUCCGGAAUUAUUGGGCGUAAAGAGCUCGUAGGCGGUUUGUCGCGUCUGCCGUGAAAGUCCGGGGCUCAACUCCGGAUCUGCGGUGGGUACGGGCAGACUAGAGUGAUGUAGGGGAGACUGGAAUUCCUGGUGUAGCGGUGAAAUGCGCAGAUAUCAGGAGGAACACCGAUGGCGAAGGCAGGUCUCUGGGCAUUAACUGACGCUGAGGAGCGAAAGCAUGGGGAGCGAACAGGAUUAGAUACCCUGGUAGUCCAUGCCGUAAACGUUGGGCACUAGGUGUGGGGGGACAUUCCACGUUUUCCGCGCCGUAGCUAACGCAUUAAGUGCCCCGCCUGGGGAGUACG
rnacentral:rRNA from 1 species